UCUUGGUCAUUUAGAGGAAGUAAAAGUCGUAACAAGGUUUCCGUAGGUGAACCUGCGGAAGGAUCAUUAAUGUAACCGGACCUGACCGGUGCCGUAAAACGCAUCGGUCUGGGAAGGGAGAUAUCAUACACCCUGUGUUUAUAUACUUUUGUUGCUUUGGCGGGCCGUCCUUUAAGGCGUCGGCCCCGGCUGAUCGCGCCCGCCAGAGGACCCAAACUCUUUUAUCAGUGAUGUCUGAGUACUAUAUAAUAGUUAAAACUUUCAACAACGGAUCUCUUGGUUCUGGCAUCGAUGAAGAACGCAGCGAAAUGCGAUAAGUAAUGUGAAUUGCAGAAUUCAGUGAAUCAUCGAAUCUUUGAACGCACAUUGCGCCCGCUGGUAUUCCGGCGGGCAUGCCUGUUCGAGCGUCAUUAUGACCAAUCAAGCUCUGCUUGGCCUUGGGGCCCGCUGUACCGGCGGCCCUUAAAAUCAGUGGCGGUGCCGUCUGGCUCUAAGCGUAGUAAUACUUCUCGCUACAGGGCCCAGUCGUUCACCCGCCAGAACCCUCAACUUUCUUAGGUUGACCUCGGAUCAGGUAGGGAUACCCGCUGAACUUAAGCAUAUCAAUAAGCGGAGGAA
rnacentral:rRNA from 1 species